rnacentral:lncRNA from 1 species
UUAUGACGUAAAUUGAUGAAAUUCCCAUUGGUACUCCUCUACAUUAUAUAAAACCUAAAAUUACAGGUCAAAUAACCCAAUAUUACGCUUUAUUUGAUGCACAUAACUGGAGCAUCAAAUAAGAUGUAAUUCUACAUCAAAUGAAACCCGAUUACACGCGCUUCAGCCGUUACAUUUUCGUCCGAUUGGUGAACUGUCAAAACGUUCGCCAUGCUCGACGUCGCUAAGAAUUUUGUUGCAGCAGUCAUUUUCGGGCGAAACAAUCUUCAAUUUUGAACCUUUACUGGCCAGAACCUACUACCGUUCAAGAUAAAGGUUGCGGCAGGCACCCAUGAUGAACUGUUCCGGCAAGCCGCUUCUUGUUCUUGGCUGAACACUUUCUUUCCAUGUGGAAGUUCCCGGAGAGGAUUAAAACGUAGUGCGCAAGAAGUGAGUUCUCUCCAGUUUUGCCACCUUGAUGCCUUCUCCCGCGGAGUGUUCGACUGAUUGCAAAUCGCAAGCCGAGAGAUUUCAAGUGGAACAAAAGCCAAGGGUGAAAAUCCGGCGGAAAAUUGAAGAAGAAAAACUAUUUUGAGCAGUGAUUUAAGUUGUGUCGUAAAAUUAUGAUGUGUUACAAUAAAUACAUUUUUGUUUUGGACAGUAUUAA